rnacentral:ribozyme from 1 species
UACCUCGCAACUCCUAUCCAUAUCUCCUCACGGUUCUGGCCGAGGUACCAGCAAUCUUUUGGAAGAUCGGGUCGCCAACCCCGGUGGGAUCUUUGGUCGUAUGCUGACAGAGAAGG